AGCAGUUUUGUACACCUUAGAGACGUGAGGCGACAGAAUCAAACAGAUUCCGGGUGGAUCAUCUAUGCUCCCUUUCUAGGCAGUGGACCUCGCCUCUGGCUCGUCUUAUGCCCCCAGCUCCAUCUGGAUGAAGCUGCUACACUUUUCAAACAUGUAGGUGUGGAGUUAGAUAAGCUAAUUCUUCUUUAAGUUCUGGUAAAUUGCCCGUCUGUCCUGGGAGAGGGUUUUUUUCUUUUUAGAAUUUUUUCUUACAGAGAAGGAGUGUGUAAGGGCAGGGAUGUCCAAUUUAGUUUUGUCUGUUUAGCUUAGCAUCCAGCUAUUGUUGAUAUCUAAUGAUUAAUUUUAGAUUUUUGGACAAUUACCGGUGUUAAGUCUGUUGAGACAACUGUGUUGUGUAAUUGAGCAACAUAAACUUGAAUUCUAUAACUUCAAAAGGUCUUGCACCAACAAAAACUCAUUAUUUACAUUUAAAUGUAUUUUUUUUGCGCUUCACAGCACACCCACGUGAAGAAAUGCGUUUCUGGAGGAUACCUAGUCUCAAGUCGCUAUGGCGCCUCCUUAAAUAAAAAGUUUGGACACCACUACAACUUCAAAUGGCCCGACAAUUGGAUCAAUAGGGAGUAGAAUGAAUGUAGGGAAUUAAUUCAGAUUUGGCCUGACUCGUUUGUUGCGUCUUAUAGUUUGUUUGCUCCUUAUAUACAUAAUUUUGAAAAUAAACCAUACAUUUUCAAUGUACUUUAGAGCGGAAAAUACGGUAAAUGGGACAAGAACUAGAUGUGUUGCCAGUAUUUUUGAGAGGGUGCAUCUUAAUUUUGGCUCCAAUUCUUGGUACUUUACGGAAUGCCUUGGGUGGUAACUUUUGUUUUUUGUUUUUUUCAGUUUUUAAAAACUAAAGCCUGUCCUGGAAGAGCGACACCAACAGGAGAGGAGGAGAACUGCACAAGCUGCCUAUUGAACAGCUAAAGCUGGAAAACAAACUCCUUUCGAAGAUACUUUUGGUCCUUCCAGCCAAAAAAAAAAAGAAAAAA